rnacentral:misc_RNA from 1 species
AACGCACCUUGCGCCCCUUGGCAUUCCGAGGGGCACACCCGUUUGAGUGUCGUGAAAUUCUCAAAAACCUUUCUUUGGAAAGGAUUUUGGACUUGGAGGCCUUUUGCUGGUUUCACCUUGAAGCGAGCUCCUCCCAAAUGGAUUAGUGGGGUCUGCUUUGCUGAUCCUUGACGUGAUAAGAUGAUUUCUACGUCUUGGGUUUGGCACUGUCACUUGGGCACCCGCUUCUAACCGUCUUGUAGACAACGAUGGCGUUCCGGUCACCACCGUUUCAUCGGUGGGAGGCUUGACCCACCAAAAACCUUGACCUCAAAUCGGGUGAGACUACCCGCUGAACUUAA